rnacentral:rRNA from 1 species
AGUGAACGCUGGCGGUAGGCCUAACACAUGCAAGUCGAACGGCAGCACAGUAAGAGCUUGCUCUUACGGGUGGCGAGUGGCGGACGGGUGAGGAAUACAUCGGAAUCUACUUUUUCGUGGGGGAUAACGUAGGGAAACUUACGCUAAUACCGCAUACGACCUACGGGUGAAAGCAGGGGAUCUUCGUACCUUGCGCGAUUGAAUGAGCCGAUGUCGGAUUAGCUAGUUGGCGGGGUAAAGGCCCACCAAGUCGACGAUCCGUAGCUGGUCUGUGAGGAUGAUCAGCCACACUGGAACUGAGACACGGUCCAGACUCCUACGGGAGGCAGCAGUGGGGAAUAUUGGGCAAUGGGCGCAAGCCUGAUCCAGCCAUACCGCGUGGGUGAAGAAGGCCUUCGGGUUGUAAAGCCCUUUUGUUGGGAAAGAAAAGCAGCAGGUUAAUACCCCGCUGUUCUGACGGUACCCAAAGAAUAAGCACCGGCUAACUUCGUG